CAUCUUAGGAAACAUUUUUUUUGGGUGCUCCCAUGAAUUAAAGCAACCUUUUUGAUCAAGCAAGCAAUGCCUGGCAGCAGAGCAUGUGGCUAUGAACCUGUCAAGAAAUUCCUUCAAGCAGAGAAAGAAAAAGGAGUUGAUUGCUUUUUGUAAGUUUACCAUCCAUCCCCAAAGUAAGGAUUUCACCCAUGAUUACAAACUUUCUUUCUCUUCAGGAAUGCAGGGAAGAAGACAUUCAUGACACAUCACACAGCCAAUAAUGCAGUGGACCCUUUGUCUUCAAUAAAUAUCAUUUUUAUCUCAAUGCUGCACAGAUCCAACAGCUUCUUAUGGCGGAAUGAGAGAGCGCGGAAUGAGAGAGCUAUGCUCGAGGAGACGAAGGGUUCAGUGACUCAGAGAUAUUUAGAGCCGUGAUAGUAAGAGGUGGGACUUGAUGGUAUACGUUGUGAUUCUCCAAAUCGAAAUCCACUAAGUUCGUAAUUGUCGGGUAGGUAGGAUUCAAUAAUCCCACUCUACUGAAAUUAUUAUCUGGCUCACUUGUGCGCAAAAGCACCAUAUUAGACAUUAUUUUCAAUUUGACAUUCCGACAAGCUGUAGCUCAUCCAUCCAAAAAGCCACAUGACAAGCCAUCCAAUUGAAACACUUCGAAUUUUUCAAAAUAUUAUUUUUAUAAA